CACGUAGGGGGCAAGCGUUGUCCGGAUUUAUUGGGCGUAAAGAGCUCGUAGGCGGCUCGGUAAGUCGGGUGUGAAAACUCAGGGCUCAACCCUGAGACGCCACCCGAUACUGCUGUGGCUAGAGUCCGGUAGGGGAGCGUGGAAUUCCUGGUGUAGCGGUGAAAUGCGCAGAUAUCAGGAGGAACACCAGCGGCGAAGGCGGCGCUCUGGGCCGGAACUGACGCUGAGGAGCGAAAGCGUGGGGAGCAAACAGG
rnacentral:misc_RNA from 1 species